GACGAACGCUGGCGGCGUGCCUAAUACAUGCAAGUAGAACGCUGAAGGAGGAGCUUGCUUCUCUGGAUGAGUUGCGAACGGGUGAGUAACGCGUAGGUAACCUGCCUGGUAGCGGGGGAUAACUAUUGGAAACGAUAGCUAAUACCGCAUGAGAGUAGAUGUUGCAUGACAUUUGCUUAAAAGGUGCAAUUGCAUCACUACCAGAUGGACCUGCGUUGUAUUAGCUAGUUGGUGGGGUAACGGCUCACCAAGGCGACGAUACAUAGCCGACCUGAGAGGGGGAUCGGCCACACUGGGACUGAGACACGGCCCAGACUCCUACGGGAGGCAGCAGUAGGGAAUCUUCGGCAAUGGACGGAAGUCUGACCGAGCAACGCCGCGUGAGUGAAGAAGGUUUUCGGAUCGUAAAGCUCUGUUGUAAGAGAAGAACGAGUGUGAGAGUGGAAAGUUCACACUGUGACGGUAUCUUACCAGAAAGGGACGGCUAACUACGUG
rnacentral:rRNA from 1 species